rnacentral:rRNA from 1 species
GACGAACGCUGGCGGCGUGCUUAACACAUGCAAGUCGAACGGUAAGGCCCUUCGGGGUACACGAGUGGCGAACGGGUGAGUAACACGUGGGUGAUCUGCCCUGCACUUCGGGAUAAGCCUGGGAAACUGGGUCUAAUACUGGAUAGGACCACUGUCUGCAUGGGAGGCGGUGGAAAGCUUUUGCGGUGUGGGAUGGGCCCGCGGCCUAUCAGCUUGUUGGUGGGGUGAUGGCCUACCAAGGCGACGACGGGUAGCCGGCCUGAGCGGGUGACCGGCCAGACUGGGUCUGAGGUACGGCCCAGGCGCCUACGGGAGGCAGCAGUGGGGAGUUUUGCACAAUGGGCGCAAGCCUGAUGCAGCGGCGCCGCGUGAGGGAUGACGGCCUUCGGGUUGUAAACCUCUUUCAGCACCGACGAAGCGCAAGUGACGGUAGGUGCAGAAGAAGGACCGGCCAACUACGUGCCAGCAGCCGCUGUAA